CAAUAGCGUAUAUUUAAGUUGUUGCAGUUAAAAAGCUCGUAGUCGGAUUUUGGCUGAGAACGAUCGGUCCGCCGUUAGGUGUGCACUGAUUGGUCUCAGCUUCCUGGUGAGGAGGUGUGCUUCGCGGCCACUUAGUCACCGUGGUUACUUUGAAAAAAUUAGAGUGUUCAAAGCGGGCUUACGCUUGAAUAUAUUAGCAUGGAAUAACACCAUAGGACUCCUGUCCUAUUUCGUUGGUCUCGGGACGGGAGUAAUGAUUAAGAGGAACAGUUGGGGGCAUUCGUAUUUCAUUGUCAGAGGUGAAAUUCUUGGAUUUAUGAAAGACGAACUUCUGCGAAAGCAUUUGCCAAGGAUGUUUUCAUUGA
rnacentral:rRNA from 1 species